rnacentral:rRNA from 1 species
UACGUAGGCAGCGAGCGUUGUUCGGAGUUACUGGGCGUAAAGGGUGUGUAGGCGGUUGUUUAAGUUUGGUGUGAAAUCUCCCGGCUCAACCGGGAGGGUGCGCCGAAUACUGAGGGACUCGAGUGCGGGAGAGGAAAGUGGAAUUCCUGGUGUAGCGGUGAAAUGCGUAGAUAUCAGGAGGAACACCGGUGGUGUAGACGGCUUUCUGGACCGUAACUGACGCUGAGACACGAAAGCGUGGGUAGCAAACAGG